UACGAAGGGGGCUAGCGUUGUUCGGAAUUACUGGGCGUAAAGCGUGCGCAGACGGUUGCGUAAGUCAGCUGUGAAAGCCCCGGGCUCAACCUGGGAAUUGCAUUUGAUACUCUGGAGCUUGAGUACGGGAGAGGAUAGUGGAAUUCCCAGUGUAGAGGUGAAAUUCGUAGAUAUUGGGAAGAACACCGGUGGCGAAGGCGGCUAUCUGGACCGUAACUGACGCUGAGGCGCGAAAGCGUGGGGAGCAAACAGG
rnacentral:rRNA from 1 species